CCUACGGGGGUCAGCAGUGAGGAAUAUUGGUCAAUGGGCGGAAGCCUGAACCAGCCAUGUAGCGUGCGGGAUGAAGGCCCUACGGGUCGUAAACCGCUUUUGCACGGGGAUAACACCCUCCACUUGUGGCGGUCUGCAGGUACCGUGCGAAUAAGGGCCGGCUAAUUCCGUGCCAGCAGCCGCGGUAAUACGGAAGGUCCGAGCGUUAUCCGGAUUCAUUGGGCUUAAAGGGUGCGUAGGCGGUCGUUCAAGUCAGCGGUAAAAUCGCGCGGCUCAACCGCGCACCGCAGUUGAAACUGGACGCCUUGAGUUCACAACAGGCAGGCGGAAUGCGUGGUGUAGCGGUGAAAUGCAUAGAGAUCACGAGGAACCCCGAUUGCGAAGGCAGCCUGCCGGGGUGCGACUGACGCUGAGGCUCGAAGGUGCGGGUAUCAAACAGGAUUAGAUACCCCUGUAGUC
rnacentral:rRNA from 1 species